ACUUUAUUUUUGUUUCUGCAGGAUUCCUGCUAAAUGUAUUCAUCACCCGUACAACUGAGCAGCCCCCUCCUUUCCCCUGGGUGGGGGGAGAGACUGGGAACAGAGAGUGUACUGGCUGACAGCCGUGUGAUUGGCAUCUAGUAAUUUGGAGGCUCCAGCAGUUCGGUCAUUGAGGCGCUGAGGUAAGCUGACUAACUUCUGCUUAGUUUGAUGUUAAGGGCCUGUGAACUGAAGGCUGUUGGUUUGAUUAUCAGGACGGGCCACACUGCUGUGACCUUGAUAAAGGGUUUCCGCUGCCUCAUGUGCUGUGUUGCCUCGGAUUGGCUCCAAACCCCCUGAGGCCGUCUGCUGGAGCCCAUGGAGAAAUGGAGAACCAAAGAUCAGGGGCUGCUGUUGGACCUCUGGAGACACAGCUUGGGAACUGAAGUCACUGCAGAGCUGAGUGCCGGGAUAUCGCCGCUUACAUGACGGAGCUGUGACGAGGUCACGUGAUCUCGCGGCUUUACCACUCGUGUGAUAUGCCCUGAUCCUGGUAAUUUUCCUUAGGGAAAAACUCCCAGUUAAGUGGAUGGAUUCUGACAGAAAUAUAGGUAGAAAUUCUGGGCCC